AUUGAACGCUGGCGGCAGGCUUAACACAUGCAAGUCGAGCGGAGCGAGGGUGCUUGCACCUUAGCUUAGCGGCGGACGGGUGAGUAAUGCUUAGGAAUCUGCCUAUUAGUGGGGGACAACAUUCCGAAAGGGAUGCUAAUACCGCAUACGCCCUACGGGGGAAAGCAGGGGAUCUUCGGACCUUGCGCUAAUAGAUGAGCCUAAGUCGGAUUAGCUAGUUGGUGGGGUAAAGGCCUACCAAGGCGACGAUCUGUAGCGGGUCUGAGAGGAUGAUCCGCCACACUGGGACUGAGACACGGCCCAGACUCCUACGGGAGGCAGCAGUGGGGAAUAUUGGACAAUGGGCGGAAGCCUGAUCCAGCCAUGCCGCGUGUGUGAAGAAGGCCUUUUGGUUGUAAAGCACUUUAAGCGAGGAGGAGGCUACCAGUAUUAAUACUACUGGAUAGUGGACGUUACUCGCAGAAUAAGCACCGGCUAACUCCGUGCCAGCAGCCGCAGUAA
rnacentral:rRNA from 1 species